rnacentral:lncRNA from 1 species
GUUAUCCUGAAAAUAUGCUAUAAAAAAUUAUCUUUUGCAAUAUGUAUAUUCUACAAAUUAGCUUGACUAAGAUUUGCAUUUAUUAGUUUUAAACAUUGUUAAUAUAAAGCCUAGUCAUCUUUUCUGUAUCCAUGAUUUCCUGGAUCAGACAAGGCUGUUAUUGGUGCAUUUUGUCUAGAUUGAGUGAUAAUGAAUGUGUUUGUUGUGUAACAUUUUUGACAAUGUAUUACGUUUUAUUUGGGUACAUCUCUACCUUGAUGUGAUAAUUGGCUUGAAGUCACAUCAAAGAGAGAUAUAUAUAUAUAUAUAACUUUUAUUUAUACUAAGUAAGUUUUUCUUUGUAUGAGAAUUAAUCAAGAAUUAUUAAACCUGUUUAAACUAUUUUAUAAGCUUUGUAUGAAAAUUAAUCAAGAAUAUUUUAACCUGUUUAAACUAUUUUAUAAGAUCUUGUGCAAAUUAUAUGGCUUUUGUGCACGAGAACUAUAUAGGUUUAAAUAUGUUUAAUGAAUACAGGAAAUACUUCAAGUCAAGGCACAAGAAAAGGCAAAUGUUAGUAUGAAAGAGUUGUUAGUUAUGAGUAUUGUGUGUUGAAUAGUGAUGAUUAAAGUAACCUUCUCUAUUAUAAAUGUAGAUUGAAAUCCAGAUUCUGUAAAAUGUUUUGUCACAAAGAGGGGGGCAACUCAUUCAGUAAGUCUUAUCUUUUCUACAGAUAUUUAUUGAAUAUUUUGUUAUAAAUAGCUUUGUUAUGUUUUACUUCAAUAAAGAUAAACAUGGAAAAAUAUAUGAUGUAUUUUUGUGUUUAAUAAUUAAGUAUCACAUUGGUAGUAUAUGUAUUUGUUUUCUAUCAUAAGCUUAAAAUAUACUAUAAAAGGGAAGGUAGGAGACCCCAUUCUUUGUCAUAUUAAAAAUCAAAG